UACGAAGGGGGCUAGCGUUGUUCGGAAUUACUGGGCGUAAAGCGCACGUAGGCGGGCUGUUAAGUCAGGGGUGAAAUCCUGGAGCUCAACUCCAGAACUGCCUUUGAUACUGGCAACCUAGAGACUGGAAGAGGUUAGUGGAAUUCCCAGUGUAGAGGUGAAAUUCGUAGAUAUUGGGAAGAACACCAGUGGCGAAGGCGGCUAACUGGUCCAGCACUGACGCUGAGGUGCGAAAGCGUGGGGAGCGAACAGG
rnacentral:rRNA from 1 species